rnacentral:rRNA from 1 species
CCGAUCCCAUCCCGAACUCGGCCGUUAAACGCUUCAGCGCCAAUGGUACUAUGGCUCAAGCCCUGGGAGAGUAGGUCGCUGCCAGGC